rnacentral:rRNA from 1 species
UACGUAGGGUGCGAGCGUUGCCCGGAUUUAUUGGGCGUAAAGGGCGCGUAGGCGGUGAGAUGCGUCCGUUGUGAAAUCGCCCGGCUCAACUGGGCGGGGUCAGCGGAUACGGUCUCACUUGAGCAAGCUAGGGGGCAAUGGAAUUCCCGGUGUAGUGGUGGAAUGCGUAGAUAUCGGGAGGAACACCAGUGGCGAAGGCGGUUGCCUGGGGCUUUGCUGACGCUGAUGCGCGAAAGCGUGGGGAGCGAUCCGG